rfam:Metagenome sequence AGZO12767.g2, whole genome shotgun sequence.
CCUACUGUAUUACCGGCAGUUUUCUACUCCGGCAUGCAUUACCAGUAAUGGUUUUGUGUGGAGCCCGGAUGACAAUGAAGCCCUUGGCCAUAAGCCUGAAGAGAGAAUCGUGAGAGGACCUCAACUCUGGGAGCAUCAACCUGGAUGGGAGC